GACGAACGCUGGCGGCGUGCUUAACACAUGCAAGUCGAACGGAAAGGCCCUGCUUUUGUGGGGUGCUCGAGUGGCGAACGGGUGAGUAACACGUGAGUAACCUGCCCUUGACUUUGUGAUAACUUCAGGAAACUGGGGCUAAUACCGGAUAGGAGCUCCUGCUGCAUGGUGGGGUUUGGAAAGUUUCGGCGGUUGGGGAUGGACUCGCGGCUUAUCAGCUUGUUGGUGGGGUAGUGGCUUACCAAGGCUUUGACGGGUAGCCGUCCUGAGAGGGUGACCGGCCACAUUGGGACUGAGAUACGGCCCAGACUCCUACGGGAGGCAGCAGUGGGGAAUAUUGCACAAUGGGCGGAAGCCUGAUGCAGCAACGCCGCGUGCGGGAUGACGGCCUUCGGGUUGUAAACCGCUUUCGCCUGUGACGAAGCGUGAGUGACGGUAAUGGGUAAAGAAGCACCGGCUAACUACGUG
rnacentral:rRNA from 1 species